rnacentral:rRNA from 1 species
GACGAACGCUGGCGGCGUGCUUAACACAUGCAAGUCGAACGGAAAGGCCCUGCUUUUGUGGGGUGCUCGAGUGGCGAACGGGUGAGUAACACGUGAGUAACCUGCCCUUGACUUUGGGAUAACUUCAGGAAACUGGGGCUAAUACCGGAUAGGAGCUCCUGCUGCAUGGUGGGGGUGGGAAAGUUUCGGCGGUGGGGGAUGGAUUCGCGGCUGAUCAGCUUGUUGGUGGGGGAGUGGCUUACCAAGCCUUGGGCGGGUAGCCGGCCUGAGAGGGUGACCGGCCACAUUGGGACUGAGAUACGGACCAGACUCCUACGGGAGGCAGCAGUGGGGAAUAUUGCACAGUGGGCGGAAGCCUGAUGCAGCAACGCCGCGUGCGGGAUGACGGCCUUCGGGUUGUAAACCGCUUUCGCCUGUGACGAAGCGUGAGUGACGGUAAUGAGUAAAGAAGCACCGGCUAACUACGUG